rnacentral:tRNA from 1 species
AGGCUUUAUAGUCAAUAAAUGAUUUUAGAUUGCAAUUCUGAGGUAGAAAUAAAUAAUUCUAAGGCUUA